UACGAAGGGGGCUAGCGUUGCUCGGAAUCACUGGGCGUAAAGGGUGCGUAGGCGGGUCUUUAAGUCAGGGGUGAAAUCCUGGAGCUCAACUCCAGAACUGCCUUUGAUACUGAAGAUCUUGAGUUCGGGAGAGGUGAGUGGAACUGCGAGUGUAGAGGUGAAAUUCGUAGAUAUUGGGAAGAACACCGAUGGCGAAGGCAACCAUCUGGACCGACACUGACGCUGAGGCGCGAAAGCGUGGGGAGCAAACAGGG
rnacentral:rRNA from 1 species